UAACACCCUCUACAGUAGGAUCAUUUCUAUAGGAAUCGUCACUCUUUGACUCUUCAUAAGAGCCACUGAAUCCAACUUGGUUGAUGAGCGACGAAGCCCUUGUGCCCUAGAGUGAGAACCGAUGUCGCUUGGUCCACAACCCUAAGCGGUUUGGCCAUCGCAUUUUUUGCCUCUUCACAACCUUUUCAAUUUCGAUUGCUAAGGUUUCUCAGGCGCGAUGAUCUUUGCCCUUUCUUAGAUACUUCCUGGAAGCGUCGAGUUUGGGCGGGCGCAAGUGGCAGUCUGACAAGU
rfam:Zygosaccharomyces rouxii strain CBS732 chromosome F complete sequence.